UGUGAGGGUUGCUGGAGGUAUCAGAAGUGCGAAUGCUGACAUAAGUAACGAUAAAGCGGGUGAAAAGCCCGCUCGCCGGAAGACCAAGGGUUCCUGUCCAACGUUAAUCGGGGCAGGGUGAGUCGACCCCUAAGGCGAGGCCGAAAGGCGUAGUCGAUGGGAAACGGGUUAAUAUUCCCGUACUUGGUGUUACUGCGAAGGGGGGACGGAGAAGGCUAUGUUGGCCGGGCGACGGUUGUCCCGGUUUAAGCGUGUAGGCUGGUUUUCCAGGCAAAUCCGGAAAAUCAAGGCUGAGGCGUGACGACGAGGCACUACGGUGCUGAAGCAACAAAUGCCCUGCUUCCAGGAAAAGCCUCUAAGCAUCAGGUAACAUCAAAUCGUACCCCAAACCGACACAGGUGGUCAGGUAGAGAAUACCAAGGCGCUUGAGAGAACUCGGGUGAAGGAACUAGGCAAAAUGGUGCCGUAACUUCGGGAGAAGGCACGCUGACACGUAGGUGAAGUGAUUUACUCACGGAGCUGAAGUCAGUCGAAGAUACCAGCUGGCUGCAACUGUUUAUUAAAAACACAGCACUGUGCAAACACGAAAGUGGACGUAUACGGUGUGACGCCUGCCCGGUGCCGGAAGGUUAAUUGAUGGGGUCAGCGCAAGCGAAGCUCCUGAUCGAAGCCCCGGUAAACGGCGGCCGUAACUAUAACGGUCCUAAGGUAGCGAAAUUCCUUGUCGGGUAAGUUCCGACCUGCACGAAUGGCGUAAUGAUGGCCAGGCUGUCUCCACCCGAGACUCAGUGAAAUUGAACUCGCUGUGAAGAUGCAGUGUACCCGCGGCAAGACGGAAAGACCCCGUGAACCUUUACUAUAGCUUGACACUGAACAUUGAGCCUUGAUGUGUAGGAUAGGUGGGAGGCUUUGAAGUGUGGACGCCAGUCUGCAUGGAGCCGACCUUGAAAUACCACCCUUUAAUGUUUGAUGUUCUAACGUGGACCCGUGAUCCGGGUUGCGGACAGUGUCUGGUGGGUAGUUUGACUGGGGCGGUCUCCUCCUAAAGAGUAACGGAGGAGCACGAAGGUUGGCUAAUCCUGGUCGGACAUCAGGAGGUUAGUGCAAUGGCAUAAGCCAGCUUGACUGCGAGCGUGACGGCGCGAGCAGGUGCGAAAGCAGGUCAUAGUGAUCCGGUGGUUCUGAAUGGAAGGGCCAUCGCUCAACGGAUAAAAGGUACUCCGGGGAUAACAGGCUGAUACCGCCCAAGAGUUCAUAUCGACGGCGGUGUUUGGCACCUCGAUGUCGGCUCAUCACAUCCUGGGGCUGAAGUAGGUCCCAAGGGUAUGGCUGUUCGCCAUUUAAAGUGGUACGCGAGCUGGGUUUAGAACGUCGUGAGACAGUUCGGUCCCUAUCUGCCGUGGGCGCUGGAGAACUGAGGGGGGCUGCUCCUAGUACGAGAGGACCGGAGUGGACGCAUCACUGGUGUUCGGGUUGUCAUGCCAAUGGCACUGCCCGGUAGCUAAAUGCGGAAGAGAUAAGUGCUGAAAGCAUCUAAGCACGAAACUUGCCCCGA
rnacentral:rRNA from 1 species